GAGGCGUGGGGGAGGGAGAGGCCGAUGCUGGGAAAGGCCCCAGGCCACGUUUCUGGGGGAGGAGAUGCGCCGCGAGUGGACACGCUCGGCCCCAGGCCAGCCGGGGACCUUCGUGUCUGGAGAGGGCGGCCCAAGAUCCCUCUGAUGGGAGCAGCUGUGGCCUAGCCUCGGAGGGCCGGCCCUGCCUGCUCAGGGAUGGCCUUGCAGAAAUGCCCUGGCCUAAAGGAAAUGGCAACCCACUCCAGUGUUCUUGCCUGGAGAAUCCCAGGGACGGGGGAGCCUGGUGGACUGCCGUCUCUGGGGUCGCACAGAGUCGGACACGACUGAAGCGACUUAGCAGCAGCAGCAGCAGCAGCAACCUAGUUGCCUCCUCUGACCGCGGUGGGAUGGGGUUGAGGCUGAAGGGUCUUCUAUCUCACCCCGCCCCUGCCCACCACCACCUCAAAGAGGAUAUCUGUCCAGGGGUCGAAGAAUUUGAGAGGCUGAGUAAACUGGGGGUGGGUGGCCAUCCAGUGAAGGUGAGGAGAGUGGUAGGAAGAAAAAAAGGAAGCACAAAAAGAAGGAAGGAGAAUCUUAAGACCCUGCCAAGGAUGUAACUGCAAUCCUUGGAAAGCCACAGCUCAGCAAGUGAUGCCAGCCCCAGGAGGGGAUGUCCGGGUCUCAUCUUGCAGCCAGAAGGAGCACAACAGCUGGGUGCCCAGAACCCAUCCGGGUCUGUGCAGAGCUGUUUGUCGGUGCGGCCUCCCAGGACUACGUGAGCUGCCUCUCACCCUGUAUGACCCUCUUUCAGACCCAGGCAGAGCAGAGCUCCCGGCCCCCUUCCCCUCGUGCACAGCCUUCUCCCAAGUGUGUAGGUGGGUGGCUCAUUCCUGCCGGGUCAAAACCACAUUGAGCUGGACUCCUGGAAAGUUCUCUCCGGACCUCUGUAGAAGAGUGCCUGGUGUUGUGUGCUGCCCACUGCAGAGACCAAACGUUGGUGACCACAGAAGACAUCUGGCAAGUCUAGAAAAUGGUGAACAGCUAACGUUUAGUAAGCAUUUACUAUGUGCCCGGAAUUUUUCUGAGCUCCUUACAUGCUCCUUACUUGCCUCAUUUCAUCCUUGAAGCAGCCUUAGGAAGCAGAGCUGAUGAUUACCUUCCUUUCACAGGUUCCUGCCUCCUCUGCUACCCCCAAGACUUGGCUCAUGACUGAAAUUUCGACAAGAAACUCAUGCUGAAAGGAAACAACUGAACUUCUCUGUGUCCACACCAGGAACCCCAUCUCCUGGGCUCUCAACCCUCCUCUCACAGAGCCAGGUGAGCUCUUGGGCAAGACUGUGGUGGUCUCGGCAGUACUUUGGGGAUUGUCUCUGGUCCCUGCUCUCGGAUGGCUCACUUGGUAAUUCCUGACAGACUGCAAACCAGCCUCUCAAACUCAGCCUGUGUGGUUGGUUGAGUUUGGUUAAACUGGAGGAUAUAGGCCGCCAUGAUGCCCCACGCCUACCCCCCAGGUGACACUGUGACUUGUCCCUGCCCCCUUAGCCUUUCUUAGAUGUCUCCCAUAGAGGGCUCAAGCCUUCCUUAUCUUGGGCAUUUCUCAGAGUGUCUCUAGCACUCCAGCCCCCUUGGGCCACCAUUCCACCCCCUCAGCACCUCACAGCAGUAGGAUGACAAGAAACGUCUGAGUACGGUGGGGAGAGCAUGGGGGCUGGGAGGUGAGAGGGAAGGCUCUGUUUCUUCCAGUCAUGAGCUUCCUCUAUUGACUCACGCAUAUGUGUUGGCUGGAUGGGGAAACAUGGGAGGAGAUGGAGGCUGGAUGUGGUAAUACCAGCCCAGUGGCUCUUGGCUCCAAGUCUGCUCACAGAUGUUUGUUAACCAGACGUUGUUAGAAAGGACUUCCAAGCUCUACUUGCACCUCCUCUGCUGAGGGUUGACUCAGUAGCAUUUCUCAGAAGCCCCUUUCUUCUGUCACAGCUUGCAACUCCUCUGAGACUCCAGAAACAUCCAGCCUACGCAGUGUCUUUUCUUGACUGAAGUGUGGCUAUUGGAACCAUACUGCCUGGGUUCCCAUCCUGGCUCUGAACCCUCUCAGACUUGGGGGUGAUCCUCAAUCCCUCUCUGCCUCUGAUCCCUUGCCUCUGACGUGGGGAUGAGAGCAACUAUAGCCUGGAGUUGCUGAGAUGGCAAUGUUGUCAGCUGUAAAAGACUUAAAAUAGUACCUGGAACAUGGUAGGUGCUAUGGAAGUGUUAGCAGCUGUCUUAUUAUUACUAUUAUGAUUAUUUUCUGUCUCCUCUGCCCUUUCCUUCCAUGUCUCCAGUCCAGUCUUUAUCGAUGCACUGUUCUCCAAAGCCUCGGCGUGCUGGCUGGGCAAAGCUGUCCUUACAGGGUGGUGUAGGGGCCUUGGAAGGCUGGAGACUCUCCCAUGGAGAUGAACAUGUGCCUCUGAGAAGGUGUGGGGACCCCUGCAGAUGGUUCUGAGGUGGGAAGGAGCAAGUCACCCUCUGCUGUACUGAAAGGAGUACAGCUGCCUAGAGCAAGGGGCAUGUCUCCUGGUGGUGAGGGAACUUUGGUUUGGGUCCAUAUAGUUCAGAGAAAAACGCAUCAGUCAGAGGACUUCUGAGUGUAUCCAGAUGGAGGUGAAGCCGCACACCUGGUCUCACGUGGAAUGAAACUGUGGAACUCCGAUGGAAUUCAAACCCAGCCCAAACUCUGAUUGAGGUUUGAACCCAUGAGCUGGGACUUGAACCCACUGUCUUUUCAUUGAAAUCACACACCUGGUCUCAGGACUUAAUGAAGAUCAGCUUCUUUGUGUCUCGGUGUAGAAAGAAUUCAUUGAGAGGCAAAGUGAUAGGUAAGAAGUGUCAAUAGAUUUAUUGAGAGAGGUACACACUCCACAGACAGAGUGUGGGCCAUCUCAGAUGGCAAGAGGCCCCAAAACAAGUGGUUAGUGUUUAUGGUCUGGGUAAAUUCUUAGGCUAAUGAGUGAGAGGAUUGUCCAACCAUUUUGGAGAAGGGGUGGGGAUUUCUAGGAACUGGGCCACUGCGCACUUUUUGGUCUUCUGUGGUCGGUCUAACUAUCAGAGCACCAGUGGGUGUGUUGUUCAGCAUAUGGAUAUUUUACAGUGAGUGUAUAAUGAGGCCCGAGGUCUACUGGAAGUCAAACCUUCCACCAUUCUGGGUCUAGUAGAUUCUAAUCAGUUUAUGUUGUAUCCACGACGACUAUGUCAUUCUCUUAAAGGUUAUAUCCUGCCCCCUUCCUCCUGUUUCAGAGGUUACAAUUAAGACACUCAUACAAUAGGACUCUAGUGGGUUGGUGGGUGGCUCCCCAAGAAAUAUGUCCAUGUUCUAGCCCCCAAAACCUGUGAAUGUGACCUUGUUUUUAAAGAGUCUUUGCAGAUAUCAUUAAGAAUCCUGAGAUGAGGUCAUCCUGGAUUAUUUGUCUGUGUCCUAAAUCCAAGGACAAGUGUCCUUGUAAAAAGUAGAAGAGGAGAAUUUGCAAACACAGAGGAGAAGGCCAAGUGAAGACAGAGGCAGAGUCUGAAGUUAUGCAGCCAAAGCAAGCUUGGAGCCACCAGAAGCUGGAAGGGAAACUUUGGAGAAAAUGCAGCCCUGAGGACAACUUGACCUUGGAUUUUUUUUUGCUCCCAGAACUGUGAGAAAAAUUCAUUUCUGUUGUUUAAAGCCACCCAGUUUGUGGUAAUUUGUUUCAACAGUUACAGGAAAUUAAUAACAAGGACCAACUGCAAACCACAGCCUAUCUGUACCCCAAAA